CCCCCUCCNAUCAGUGAAACUGAUCUCCCCGUGAAGAAGCGGGGAUAAGUAUAUUANACGAGAAGACCCCAUGGAGCUUUAAACCCGACAGCACCCACUUAUUUAACACCUUCUUAUCCGCCUGGCCCCUGUCUGCUCGGUUUUGGGUUGGGGUGACCGCGGAGCAUAAAAUAGCCUCCACGAAAGAAGGGAUGAUUCCCUCAUUUUAGAACUACACUUCCAAAGACUAACAAAUUAAUUUUAAGUGAUCCGAUACCCGUAUUCGAUCAACGAACCAAGUUACCCUGGGGAUAACAGCGCAAUCUACCUCAAGAGCCCCUAUCGACAGGUGGGUUUACGACCUCGAUGUUGGAUCAGGGUAUCCCAGUGGUGCAGCAGCUACCAAAGGUUCGUUUGUUCAACGAUUAAAACCCU
rnacentral:rRNA from 1 species